GACGAACGCUGGCGGCGUGCCUAAUACAUGCCAGUAGAACGCUGAAGGAGGAGCUUGCUUCUCUGGAUGAGUUGCGAACGGGUGAGUAACGCGUAGGUAACCUGCCUGGUAGCGGGGGAUAACUAUUGGAAACGAUAGCUAAUACCGCAUAAUAGUAGAUGUUGCAUGACAUUUGCUUAAAAGGUGCAAUUGCAUCACUACCAGAUGGACCUGCGUUGUAUUAGCUAGUUGGUGGGGUAACGGCUCACCAAGGCGACGAUACAUAGCCGACCUGAGAGGGUGAUCGGCCAAACUGGGACUGAGACACGGCCCAGACUCCUACGGGAGGCAGCAGUAGGGAAUCUUCGGCAAUGGACGGAAGUCUGACCGAGCAACGCCGCGUGAGUGAAGAAGGUUUUCGGAUCGUAAAGCUCUGUUGUAAGAGAAGAACGAGUGUGAGAGUGGAAAGUUCACACUGUGACGGUAUCUUACCAGAAAGGGACGGCUAACUACGUG
rnacentral:rRNA from 1 species